UCUGUGCGUAUUGUUGUGCAUUUGUUUUUCUACAUUGGCUAGAGUUAUAGGGGGAAAGUUGAGAUCUCAAAAAACCUGUUUAACCCUGCCACAUUUUUGCGGCUGUCCCAAGUAAGGAGCCUCAGUCAUUUGUUAGUCUUGUAUGAUUUUAAUUUUAGUUUCUUGUGUAUAAGUCAGAGUUUAUUAUGACGUCCAUUUUCACUGAACUA
rnacentral:lncRNA from 1 species